rnacentral:rRNA from 1 species
UACGUAGGGGGCAAGCGUUGUCCGGAAUUAUUGGGCGUAAAGCGCGCGCAGGCGGCCUGUUAAGUCUGGUGUAUAAACUCAGGGCUCAACCUUGAGGCGCACCGGAUACUGGGAGGCUAGAGUGCAGGAGAGGGAAGUGGAAUUCCACGUGUAGCGGUGAAAUGAGUAGAGAUGUGGAGGAACACCAGUGGCGAAGGCGACUUCCUGGCCUGUAACUGACGCUGAGGCGCGAAAGCGUGGGGAGCAAACAGG